GAGAGGGCGACCGGCCACACUGGGACUGAGACACGGCCCAGACUCCUACGGGAGGCAGCAGUGGGGAAUAUUGCACAAUGGGCGGAAGCCUGAUGCAGCGACGCCGCGUGAGGGAUGACGGCCUUCGGGUUGUAAACCUCUUUCAGCAGGGACGAAGCGCAAGUGACGGUACCUGCAGAAGAAGCGCCGGCCAACUACGUGCCAGCAGCCGCGGUAAGACGUAGGGCGCGAGCGUUGUCCGGAUUUAUUGGGCGUAAAGAGCUCGUAGGCGGCUUGUCGCGUCGACUGUGAAAUCCCGCGGCUCAACUGCGGGUCUGCAGUCGAUACGGGCAGGCUAGAGUUCGGUAGGGGAGACUGGAAUUCCUGGUGUAGCGGUGAAAUGCGCAGAUAUCAGGAGGAACACCGAUGGCGAAGGCAGGUCUCUGGGCCGAUACUGACGCUGAGGAGCGAAAGCGUGGGGAGCGAACAGGAUUAGAUACCCUGGUAGUCCACGCUGUAAACGUUGGGCGCUAGGUGUGGGGGACCUCUCCGGUUCUCUGUGCCGCAGCUAACGCAUUAAGCGCCCCGCCUGGGGAGUACGG
rnacentral:rRNA from 1 species